rnacentral:rRNA from 1 species
GGGCCCGCACAAGCAGCGGAGCAUGUGGUUUAAUUCGACGCAACGCGAAGAACCUUACCAGGACUUGACAUCCUACUAAUCUUUAGGAAACUAGGGAGUGCCUUUCGGGGAAAGUAGAGACAGGUGGUGCAUGGUUGUCGUCAGCUCGUGUCGUGAGAUGUUGGGUUAAGUCCCGCAACGAGCGCAACCCUUAUACUUAGUUACCAGCAUGAAAGAUGGGGACUCUAAGUAGACUGCCGUGGAUAACACGGAGGAAGGCGGGGACGACGUCAAAUCAUCAUGCCCCUUAUGUUCUGGGCUACACACGUGCUACAAUGGCUGUCAACAAAGGGAAGCGAAGCCGUAAGGUGGAGCAAAUCUCACAAAAGCAGUCUUAGUUCGGAUUGUGGGCUGCAACCCGCCCACAUGAAGUUGGAGUUGCUAGUAAUCGCGAAUCAGAACGUCGCGGUGAAUGCGUUCCCGGGCCUU